CUGCAGACCUCCCAUUAUUCAUUUGUCUGCAUGUCCAACUCUUACUGAUAACACACACUUGAAGUUUGAAAGUGUUGGAGUGGCACUCUGGUUCAUUGUUCACUGGUUGGUUAGCUCAGCUAAAAGUUAGCUGGCAGUGCUGAGAAGCUGCAACAUUUCAAUGAGUUGCAUACAUAUCAACUUCUCCUGUAGUGUUGAAACACUGAAGAUGUCCCCCUAUAUAUAUACAACAGGUAGCUUGCCUUGUGUAUGCAGGCGUCAAACAGGGAAAGUUUGAGAAUUCUGGAAGUUAUUUGCGUGUGAACUUCUGGUCAUAUUUCAACUCCAUGUGGCAUGUUUCUUGAAUACUUCAGGACAUCUUUUUAAGAAGAUCAAUGAACGACUUGCAGUAGUAACUUGAGAAUAACUGUGGGUCAGUAACUGUGCAGGAUGUGAAUACUGUUCAGGUUGGAGCAGUCAACUUCUAGCUUCUUAUGUAUGAAAACUAGUGGUGAAAAUAAUCGUUUCAGCAGUAAAUAUGGACUUCAUAGCCAUUUAUCACUUGUUUUGGAGGCAAUAAAGCAUGAUUAAUUGAACUUUAAACCAUUUUACACAAAUUAUUUAGAAUCCUGCAUGCACAAUAUUUUUAUGAACUUACAGGUACUGCCUCCAAGCUUGAGUUAUGCAAAGUUAUGCAGAACAAAAAUAAGAUGAUUAUGUUUCUGUGGG